AUUGAACGCUGGCGGCAUGCCUUACACAUGCAAGUCGAACGGCAGCAUGGAGAGCCUGCUCUCUGAUGGCGAGUGGCGAACGGGUGAGUAAUGCAUCGGAACGUACCGUGUAAUGGGGGAUAACGUAGCGAAAGUUACGCUAAUACCGCAUACGACCUGAGGGUGAAAGCAGGGGAUCGCAAGACCUUGCGUUAUACGAGCGGCCGAUGUCAGAUUAGCUAGUUGGUGAGGUAAAGGCUCACCAAGGCGACGAUCUGUAGCGGGUCUGAGAGGAUGAUCCGCCACACUGGGACUGAGACACGGCACAGACUCCUACGGGAGGCAGCAGUGGGGAAUUUUGGACAAUGGGGGCAACCCUGAUUCAGCCAUGCCGUGUGAGUGAAGAAGGCCUUCGGGUUGUAAAGCUCUUUCGGCCGGGAAGAAAUCGCACAGGCUAAUACUCUGUGUGGAUGACGGUACCGGCAUAAGAAGCACCGGCUAACUACGUGCCAGCAGCCGCGGUAA
rnacentral:rRNA from 1 species